CAAGUCGUAACAAGGUUUCCGUAGGUGAACCUGCGGAAGGAUCAUUAAAGAGAGCUUCGGCUCCUUUUAUGUUUUCAACCAAAUUGCUGUUUCCAUCCUUGUUGCUUCCGCCCUUUGAAGGCGGGCCGUAAUUACAGCCUGCUCAAAGGGGGGUGGAGGGUUUGUUUUGAAAAUCUGUUUUGUCUAGUGCCGUGACUCGUCUGAAUAAGAGGAAAAAAAUGCUUUUAAAACUUUCAACAACGGAUCUCUUGGCUCCUGCAUCGAUGAAGAACGCAGCGAAAUGCGAUAACUAAUGUGAAUUGCAGAAUUCCGUGAAUCAUCGAGUCUUUGAACGCACAUUGCGCCCUAUGGUAUUCCGUAGGGCAUGCCCGUCUCAGCGUCAGUGAAAUCUCAUCAAGCUGUAGCAUUCUUUUUGCCAACGGCUUGGACAGUCUCAGGGAAGCUGCGGUUCGCUCACUGCGCUGCAGCUCCUUGGAAAUCCAUGGAUGCUUUACACCGUUGUGCGCGGGGAACGUGAUAGAAAAUUCUUCGUUCCUGCGACAUUGGUUUGAGAUAUCCGAAAAAAAACCCACAUGCCACUCUUGGGCAUUUUUUGGACUUGACCUGAGAUCGGGUAGGGAUACCCGCUGAACUUAA
rnacentral:rRNA from 1 species